GAACUAAACUCGAGCAGAAAUUUAUCACGUGAAUCUUUGUUUAAAGAACCUGGUGAAAAAUAUCUUCAACCACAGUUACGUAAAAGGUCCAGGAGUGCAGUUCCCGGGGAUCAGGUUCCAGGAGGCAGAGCCUAAGGAGGCCGCGGAGCUGCUGCUCACGAGGCAUUUUAUUAAUGCUUUUGAAGAGUAGAAGAUAUUUUGCCUUCUGGAGUUUCUCUGACUUGCUGAUGGUCUAAGCUCAAAGCUGCCAGUUUAGGGGGGGUGAUCAAUAACUCCCUGUAACAUCUGAAUUGCAAGAAUACCUGCCUCUAAGGACUCAGGAGGACUGACUUUGUGGGCACAAAGUUAGUGAGUCCUGCCUGCGAGCUCGGGAAGGAGUUUAUUUGAACCGCUUCAAGGAGGCUUCCCAGGCAACCGUUUAUGCAGUCAUGAAAGGAUGCGGAACUAGGAGGAGGAAAAUGGAAGAAACAGAGGUAUACUUUCAGAUGGAACAGAGGGAGCCACUGAGCGGGGUGCACCUUUCACAGUGUAUAUUGUAUCGGCGAUAACUUUGGAUCUUGUUUGAAACCAAUGAGGAGAGUAACGCAAGUGGGUGCAAAGAAAGAAGCGCCCCUCCGAGCCCCGGGUAACCCAGACCGACAGUAAACACGAGGGCUGCCAGCUGCUCACUUGUCUGAGGAGGUAAGACACGGAAGAUGGGUUGGAAAUGAUUGGCUAAUGGGAAAGUUUAAGCACCCAAGAAUGAAUUCUUUUUAACCUUAAGUGAAUAAGGGUUCGAUUCAUUACUGAAAAGUAGGGACGCACUCAGUUGCAGUUUUACAUGUUUCCUAGGGAGGGAAAGAAGAGAUGGAGUGUGAACUAAUUUGUGGGGAAGCGCGUUCAGAAUGCAUCAGGGUUUCGGAGGGUAAAGGAGGUUGUCUGUGGCAUCAACGGGGGCUUUAACUGCAGGAGAAAGUAGGAGGACGGCAAAGCCGAGGCUAGAGUGUUAGCAGUGCAAGUUUGUCUUUGGGGUGUAUUUAUUUCCUGUGUCCUCCCCAGUGUCACAGACUUCCUCUCAAUUAGGGAUGAUUGUGGUCUGAACUGUUAAGGAUGCUAUACAGUUAAGCGUGAAGGCCCUCGAUCCAGACUUCUGGGUUCAGAUGCCGCUCUGCUUCAGAGGCAACUGACUUAAUUCUCAGACUCUUCAUCUGUAAAACACAGAUAGUAUUAAUAUUUACCUUUGUGGGGUUCUUGGGAAUGGCAUGUAAAUGAGUCAGUGAGAGCACUGUCAGGUGCAUAGUAAGCCCUCAGCAUGUGUU
rnacentral:lncRNA from 1 species